rnacentral:rRNA from 1 species
CAGCAGCCGCGGUAAUACGUAGGGUGCGAGCGUUAAUCGGAAUUACUGGGCGUAAAGCGUGCGCAGGCGGUUGUGUAAGACAGAUGUGAAAUCCCCGGGCUCAACCUGGGAACUGCAUUUGUGACUGGCAAGCUAGAGUCUGGCAGAGGGGGGUGGAAUUCCGCGUGUAGCAGUGAAAUGCGUAGAUAUGCGGAGGAACACCGAUGGCGAAGGCAGCCCCCUGGGCCAACACUGACGCUCAUGCACGAAAGCGUGGGGAGCAAACAGGAUUAGAUACCCGCGUAGUCCCUGUCUCUUAUAC